rnacentral:lncRNA from 1 species
AUGGAGCUUAAUAAUCUGAGAGAAUAUUUGGCUCGAGUUAUCAGCGCUCUAUCGCAGCCAACGCCGCCUCAGCAUACUGAUGAGCAACCUAACAACCUGAUCCUCCACACUAGCAACGAUGAUGAUUACGUGACCCCUCAUAAUCUCAGUCAAAUAGAUGCUCUAUUAGAACAACUCGCUGGCCGUAGCUCUCAAUCAGAGUUAGCUUCUGAGCAAAACGAUUAUCAAGCCUUGUUUGAUGAGAUAAACAGUCUUGCUUUGGACAAUAGUGUUGAAUCUCAACCUUUAACCUCAGCUCUGCAGCAUAGCCAACCCAAUCCUUGUCCGUUUGAUCAUGAUGAUAUAUUAAAUCAGAUUCUAAACAUAAGUCAUCAGCCUGAAAACCCGGCGAAUCACAUUAGCGAUGAUAACAUUUCACAAAACUACCAAGCCUUGAUUGACGAGAUAAAAGCUUUGUCAGGCUCAUUUGUUCCUGCGACAGCUCCGAGACCUGCCACACAAACCGAGCCUCCUUUAGUUGAACUUGACGAAACAAUAAAUCAAAUACUAAAUAUUUCUAGACAGAUUCAAAACAAUGCAACAGACCGGAGUAACGCUCCUGAAAAUUUAGGGAACCAUCCACCCCCACAGCAAACAGGAGGAGGAGUCAAUGCUUCAACAAACUCCGGUAAACAACUUUCAACAAGUAGUUGUAUUCCUCAAGCCUCAGGGGUUUCUAAUCCGGGUCCAUCCAGCACUUGUAGUCAGCCUUCAACCAGCAGGUGUACCCAGCCUACCACGUCGCGUAGUGACAAAGUAAACCCUGAAGAUGGCGCUCAUGACCGUCCAAUUCAAAAUAGUUGUGGUGAGGGGGGUGGUAGCAUCCUUAGGCGGCCUCAGUUCAAUAAUAUUGAGAUUAGACGGCCAUUAAACCUCCGGCGUAGCGGCAGUGCGGGUGAUUUUGUAGCGGCGUAUGUUCACAUUAUGGACGCUGUCCAUCAGUUGGUUGAUGAAAUCCAGGCCCAUGCCUCCGGUAAUGAGGAUGUUAUUCAGCUGGAGUUACGCUGUGAUUUAUUGCAAAACAGCGCCGCAGCCGUUGUAUCGACGGAUGACGGUAUUGAUCUGAGUUUAUUUCAAGAGGUGCUCGAUCACAUCGCUCAAUCCAAUCAGUCUGUUUUGAGUGAUGAUAGUUUAGAAAUAGUCGGUCAGCUUGUACGUAAUGAGAGAGGUGGGGGUAAAAGGAGGGCUGACAAAACUCUGAACUGUGAGAUUCUAAGCAAGAAGCGCAAGUGUUUGUACAUAGUGAAUAAUCUAACCAAUCAGCUGUGCUUUGCCAUCAAUCUAGCGCAUCUCCUCAACCCUGGGUGUAGUGAUGACGAUGCUGUGAAAUUUGGUAGAAUUAUUCAGGAGCAAAGCGGUCUAACAGAUCAGACCCCUGUCUCCUUUUCACACAUUGAUAAAUUUGAAACGGUUGUGAAGAGUAAAAUAGUUGUGUUUUACAGAAACCAAGGAAGUGGGCCUAUGUCGAAAUUUGAAACACAGACCCCUCGGAGUGCAAAAACUCUAUUUUUAUUCUUAUUCCAGGGUCACUAUUAUGGGAUCAGAGAUGUCGGGAUGUUUCUUGGUGUGAAGUACUUUUGCACAUUUUGUCAUACGGGGUGCGCCUCUGAAUCCUAUCACCUCUGCCCCGCCCACUGUGGGGUAUGUCUUGACCAAGCCUGCAACACAAAGCCGAAGCAUCUCACCCGCUGUGAGGAUUGCGGACGUAUGUGUCAAUCGCUCUACUGUAUGGAGAAACACAGAGAGAAAAAAUGGCGACCUAAAGCUGGGAAAUAUGCGAGUCAAUGCGAUAUACAUAAAUAUUGCCCCGAUUGUAGUCUCCCCUAUUACACUGCGUUAUCGCACCAGCUUCAAAGACAUAGAUGCCCGGCGUUUCAUUGUCUUAUUUGUGGAAAAGAAUAUGCUGAGAAAGAGACAAAUGAAACUCAUAAAUGUUACAUUCAACCUCUAGAGGAGAAAAAGAAAAAGAAAAACAAUAAAAGUAAUAAAAAGCAAAAGUCUACACCCAAUGUCAAAAGUAACACGAAGCCAAAACCGGUAAAGGUUAGUGAUGAUGAUGAUGAUGAUGAUGAUGACUAUGAUGAUGAAGAUAGUGAUGAUGAUGAGGAAAAGUUAAGAGUUAUCUACUAUGAUUUUGAGACAUUUCCCACAGCCACCGGCGUCCACGUACCGUUUUAUGUCUCGGCUAUAAGCGAUCAUGGUGCUGAGUGGUGUUUUGAAGGAGUUGAAUGCUCCAAAAAAUUUAUUCGGUUUUUCAGGAGACCAGAGUUCAGUAAAAUGGUUUUUGUGGCUCAUAAUUCUCGGGGGUUUGACGGCUACAUCAUUAUCAGAGCUCUGGUUGAAUUAGGUAUCGACCCAGAUGUAGUGAUGCAAGGUGCCAAAAUUGUAUUAAUCUGUGAAAAUCACUAUGAUCAGAGAUUCAUAGAUUCAGCCUCCUUCCUUCCCUUUCCUUUGGCGCAGCUGCCCAAAUGUUUGGGCUUUGAGGACGAGGAGAAAGGCCAUUUCCCUCAUCGUUUCAGCUCGGCUGAAAACCUGAAUUAUGUGGGGCCCUAUCCAGCGCCGGAAUUUUACGGCGUAGAUCAGAUGACUCCAAAAAAGAGGGAAGAGUUUCUCAGCUGGUACAAUUCGGUCUGUCACGGUACAUUUGACUUUCAGAAAGAGGCCCGACUCUAUUGUCGGAAUGACACAGCCAUUCUUAGGAAGGCGUGUCGCUUAUUUCGAGAUAGCUAUAUAAGCGAAACGACUGUGGAUCCGUUUUUCUCCGCUACGAUCGCUGCAGCUUGCAUGAAUGUUUUCCGCAAAAAUCAUCUUCCGGCGGAUACUAUCGGUAUUCCGUGCCCUGAAAAUUACCGCCGACACUGCAAACGAUAUUCCGACGCUGCCAUCCAGUGGCUGGAGUACAGCAUGGUUCAAAAAAACAUUUUCAUUCAGCAUGCACUGAAUCGAGGCGAGAAGCAGUUUGGGCGGUUCUAUGUUGACGGCUACGCCGUGGUUGAUGGUGUUGAGACUGUUUUUGAGUUUCUAGGAUGUUUUUACCACGGGUGUGCGCAGUGUUUCAAGCCCACAGACAGAAAUCCUCUGACAGGGGAGAGCUUUGAAUGUGCAUACAGGCGUACUGAGGAACGUCUCAGGUUGUUGGAGAGUGAGUUUGGUGUAAAACUUGUUGUUAUCUGGGAACAUCAAUGGAGCAGGAUGAAAAAAACUGACACGGGUGUGUGUAACUUUCUCAAAGAAUACCACGCCCCCCAACCCCUGAUACCACGUGACGCCCUGUACGGCGGCCGUACGUGUCCAACGUGCCUGCGCUAUUCUGUCGGUGACGACGAGAAGUGUUUUUACGUGGAUUUUACUUCGUUGUAUCCCGACGUCCUUUGUAGGUUUCCGUAUCCGAUCGGCCAUCCCGAAAUUAUCGUUAGAGACUUUCAGGACCCGAGUCACUAUUUUGGACUCAUUCAAGCUAAAGUCUACACGCCGAGAGGGUUGUUUCACCCUGUGUUACCGUACAGGACAUCUCGCGGGAAGUUGGUCUUCACGCUCUGCCGCACAUGCGCGGAGGAGAAUUAUCAGGCCGGGUCUUGUAGCCAUAGCGACGAAGAGCGAGCUCUGAUUGGUGUGUGGGUUUCCCCGGAAAUAAACAAGGCUGUUGCUAAGGGAUACUGCGUUGAAUUGAAAGAGGUUUGGCACUUCCCUACAGUAAGCGAUACCUUAUUCACGGGGUAUAUUAAGGGUUUCCUUAAAGGGAAACAGGAGGCUAGCGGUUAUCCGCCUGAGGCUGUUGAUGCAGCAAGCAGAAAGAGGUAUGUAAAGGAUUAUGCCAAGAGACAAGGAAUCAAAUUAGAUCCAGCCAAAAUCGCCCUCAAUCCGGCUAAAAGACAGGUUGCAAAACUCUGCCUUAACAGCCUGUGGGGUAAGUUUGCCCAGCGUAGCAACAUGACACAGACUGAGAUAAUAAAUAACCCUCAAGACUUCCUCACAGCCAUGUUCUCAGGGGAAUACAGGAUAAAAUACUUUACCUUUGUCAGCGAUAAAGUGGCUAUAUUUCAGAAAUGUUACAGUGAUAAAUGUGUAGCACCGCCUAAUAGGACUGAUAACAUCUUUAUAGCUGCAUUCACAACAGGAUAUGCCCGUCUCAGGCUGUAUGAAUAUCUGGAUGAGCUACAGGAUCGAGCCCUUUAUUAUGAUACAGACAGCAUAAUUUACGUAAGUAAACCGGAUGAGAAUGUUCUCCCCUUAGGUAAUCUGCUCGGGGAGCUCACGGAUGAACUGUCAGGCGACACGAUUAAAGAGUACGCGGCGGCGGGACCCAAGAGCUAUACCUAUCAGACAAGAAGCGGUAAAGUGUGUCUGCGUGUGAAAGGGAUCACUCAGACAUAUGAGUGCUGUGAGUCAAUUAAUUUUGACAGUGUCAAGGAUCUGGUUGAAGGGUACAUAGCUGACUCGUCAGAGGAGCGUUUCCUUAAAGCGCCACAGCACAAGAUUCUGCGUGACAAGAGCAGAUUUCAGCUGAAAAACUCCUCGAUUGAAAAAAAGUUUCGAGUGGUUUUUGAUAAACGCCGUCUGCUGCCUGGUGGUAAGAGCGUUCCAUUCGGAUACUAA